UUUUUCUCUUAGUGUCCAAAGGAUAUAUCCACAGGCAUGUUUGCCUGUCUUCUCAGGCGCUUUGGGAGAGUUGAUGUUGAUAGAGAAGUGUCUAGAGUGAAGCAAACGAAACCUAAAGCGGCCUGCAGACAGACGUCAUCCCCUUAAAAUGUCCUAAACAAGGUGCAGGCCAACGAGGAAGAGGAGAGGCUGAAUAGAGAACUGGAGCUAACUACCAAGGAGAGAAAUGAGCUGACAGAUCGCCUCCUUUAUGUGACAGGUGGAUCCAUGAGCAAGAGCCCCUACUUCAGGCCAAAUCCAUUUUAUGAAAACUUGAAGAUAAAGGAGAAAGAGGUCAUGUCAUUACUCCACAACUUAGACACAAAGAACAUUGAACAUCGUGAGAAAUUUCAGGAGCUCAAGAAGGAGAUUAACUUCUAUUGGUAAGUACUUGU